GACGAACGCUGGCGGCGUGCUUAACACAUGCAAGUCGAACGGAAAGGCCCUGCUUUUGUGGGGUGCUCGAGUGGCGAACGGGUGAGUAACACGUGGGUAACCUGCCCUUGACUUUGGGAUAACUUCAGGAAACUGGGGCUAAUACCGGAUAGGAGCUCCUGCUGCAUGGUGGGGGUUGGAAAGUUUCGGCGGUUGGGGAUGGACUCGCGGCUUAUCAGCUUGUUGGUGGGGUAGUGGCUUACCAAGGCUUUGACGGGUAGCCGGCCUGAGAGGGUGACCGGCCACAUUGGGACUGAGAUACGGCCCAGACUCCUACGGGAGGCAGCAGUGGGGAAUAUUGCACAAUGAGCGGAAGCCUGAUGCAGCAACGCCGCGUGCGGGAUGACGGCCUUCGGGUUGUAAACCGCUUUCGCCUGUGACGAAGCGUGAGUGACGGUAAUGGGUAAAGAAGCACCGGCUAACUACGUG
rnacentral:rRNA from 1 species